UACAGAGGGUGCGAGCGUUAAUCGGAAUUACUGGGCGUAAAGCGUGCGUAGACGGUUAUUUAAGUCGGGUGUGAAAUCCCCGGGCUCAACCUGGGAAUUGCAUUCGAGACUGAAUAGCUAGGGUACGGUAGAGGGAAGCGGAAUUUCCGGUGUAGCGGUGAAAUGCGUAGAUAUCGGAAGGAACAUCAGUGGCGAAAGCGGCUUCCUGGACCAGUACCGACGUUCAGGCACGAAAGCGUGGGGAGCAAACAGG
rnacentral:rRNA from 1 species